ACGGGAGGCAGCAGUAGGGAAUCUUCCGCAAUGGACGAAAGUCUGACGGAGCAACGUCGCGUGAGUGAUGAAGGUUUUCGGAUCGUAAAGCUCUGUUGUUAGGGAAGAACAAGUGCGAGAGUAACUGCUCGCACCUUGACGGUACCUAACCAGAAAGCCACGGCUAACUACGUGUCAGCAGCCGCGGUAAUACGUAGGUGGCAAGCGUUGUCCGGAAUUAUUGGGCGUAAAGGGUUCGCAGGCGGUUUCUUAAGUCUGAUGUGAAAGCCCCCGGCUCAACCGGGGAGGGUCAUUGGAAACUGGGAAACUUGAGUGCAGAAGAGGAGAGUGGAAUUCCACGUGUAGCGGUGAAAUGCGUAGAGACGUGGAGGAACACCAGUGGCGAAGGCGACUCUCUGGUCUGUAACUGACGCUGAGGAGCGAAAGCGUGGGGAGCGAACAGGAUUAGAUACCCUGGUAGUCCACGCCGUAAACGAUGAGUGCUAAGUGUUAGGGGGUUUCCGCCCCUUAGUGCUGCAGCUAACGCAUUAAGCACUCCGCCUGGGGAGUACGGUCGCAAGACUGAAACUCAAAGGAAUUGAC
rnacentral:rRNA from 1 species